rnacentral:rRNA from 1 species
CGGCUAUCACUCCUACGGGAGGCAGCAGUGGGGAAUAUUGCACAAUGGGGGAAACCUUGAUGCAGCCAUGCCGCGUGUGUGAAGAAGGCCUUCGGGUUGUAAAGCACUUUCAGUAGGGAGGAAGGUAGUGUAGUUAACACCUGCAUUAUUUGACGUUACCUACAGAAGAAGCACCGGCUAACUCCGUGCCAGCAGCCGCGGUAAUACGGAGGGUGCGAGCGUUAAUCGGAAUUACUGGGCGUAAAGCGCAUGCAGGCGGCCUGUUAAGUCAGAUGUGAAAGCCCGGGGCUUAACCUCGGAAUUGCAUUUGAAACUGGCAGGCUAGAGUCUUGUAGAGGGGGUAGAAUUUCAGGUGUAGCGGUGAAAUGCGUAGAGAUCUGAAGGAAUACCAGUGGCGAAGGCGGCCCCCUGGACAAAGACUGACGCUCAGAUGCGAAAGCGUGGGGAGCAAACAGGAUUAGAUACCCUGGUAG